GGUUAAGCGACUAAGCGUACACGGUGGAUGCCCUGGCAGUCAGAGGCGAUGAAGGGCGUGCUAAUCUGCGAUAAGCGCCGGUAAGGUGAUAUGAACCGUUAUAACCGGCGAUACCCGAAUGGGGAAACCCAGUGUGACUCGUCACACUAUCAUUAACUGAAUCCAUAGGUUAAUGAGGCGAACCGGGGGAACUGAAACAUCUAAGUACCCCGAGGAAAAGAAAUCAACCGAGAUUCCCCCAGUAGCGGCGAGCGAACGGGGAGGAGCCCAGAGCCUGAAUCAGCAUGUGUGUUAGUGGAAGCGUCUGGAAAGGCGCGCGAUACAGGGUGACAGCCCCGUACACAAAAGCGCAUGUGCUGUGAGCUCGAUGAGUAGGGCGGGACACGUGGUAUCCUGUCUGAAUAUGGGGGGACCAUCCUCCAAGGCUAAAUACUCCUGACUGACCGAUAGUGAACCAGUACCGUGAGGGAAAGGCGAAAAGAACCCCGGCGAGGGGAGUGAAAAAGAACCUGAAACCGUGUACGUACAAGCAGUGGGAGCCCCACCACCAAAGCAUUCUCUGGUGUUGAAGGCCCUGCAAAGCAGCAUCGCGGUGGCGGAGCGUCGUUUGCGACGCCCAACACACAAAACAAGCGGUGAAUGCUUUGGGGUGGGGUGACUGCGUACCUUUUGUAUAAUGGGUCAGCGACUUAUAUUCUGUAGCAAGGUUAACCGAAUAGGGGAGCCGGAGGGAAACCGAGUCUUAAUUGGGCGUUAAGUUGCAGGGUAUAGACCCGAAACCCGGUGAUCUAGCCAUGGGCAGGUUGAAGGUUGGGUAACACUAACUGGAGGACCGAACCGACUAAUGUUGAAAAAUUAGCGGAUGACCUGUGGCUGGGGGUGAAAGGCCAAUCAAACCGGGAGAUAGCUGGUUCUCCCCGAAAGCUAUUUAGGUAGCGCCUCGUGAAUUCAUCUCCGGGGGUAGAGCACUGUUUCGGCUAGGGGGCCAUCCCGGCUUACCAACCCGAUGCAAACUGCGAAUACCGGAGAAUGUUAUCACGGGAGACACACGGCGGGUGCUAACGUCCGUCGUGAAGAGGGAAACAACCCAGACCGCCAGCUAAGGUCCCAAAGUCAUGGUUAAGUGGGAAACGAUGUGGGAAGGCCCAGACAGCCAGGAUGUUGGCUUAGAAGCAGCCAUCAUUUAAAGAAAGCGUAAUAGCUCACUGGUCGAGUCGGCCUGCGCGGAAGAUGUAACGGGGCUAAACCAUGCACCGAAGCUGCGGCAGCGACGCUGAUGCGUUGUUGGGUAGGGGAGCGUUCUGUAAGCCUGCGAAGGUGACCUGUGAGGGUUGCUGGAGGUAUCAGAAGUGCGAAUGCUGACAUAAGUAACGAUAAAGCGGGUGAAAAGCCCGCUCGCCGGAAGACCAAGGGUUCCUGUCCAACGUUAAUCGGGGCAGGGUGAGUCGACCCCUAAGGCGAGGCCGAAAGGCGUAGUCGAUGGGAAACGGGUUAAUAUUCCCGUACUUGGUGUUACUGCGAAGGGGGGACGGAGAAGGCUAUGUUGGCCGGGCGACGGUUGUCCCGGUUUAAGCGUGUAGGUGUGUGUUCCAGGUAAAUCCGGUUCACUUUAACACUGAGGCGUGAUGACGAGGCACUACGGUGCUGAAGCAACAAAUGCCCUGCUUCCAGGAAAAGCCUCUAAGCAUCAGGUAACAUCAAAUCGUACCCCAAACCGACACAGGUGGUCAGGUAGAGAAUACCAAGGCGCUUGAGAGAACUCGGGUGAAGGAACUAGGCAAAAUGGUGCCGUAACUUCGGGAGAAGGCACGCUGACACGUAGGUGAAGUGAUUUACUCACGGAGCUGAAGUCAGUCGAAGAUACCAGCUGGCUGCAACUGUUUAUUAAAAACACAGCACUGUGCAAACACGAAAGUGGACGUAUACGGUGUGACGCCUGCCCGGUGCCGGAAGGUUAAUUGAUGGGGUCAGCGCAAGCGAAGCUCCUGAUCGAAGCCCCGGUAAACGGCGGCCGUAACUAUAACGGUCCUAAGGUAGCGAAAUUCCUUGUCGGGUAAGUUCCGACCUGCACGAAUGGCGUAAUGAUGGCCAGGCUGUCUCCACCCGAGACUCAGUGAAAUUGAACU
rnacentral:rRNA from 1 species